GCUUCAAGCAGCAAAACUUUAUCUCGAAUGACUGCAGUAGUAAGAAAGGUCUGCAUACGGGCAGUAAAGAAACUUGGGCACCUAGGACAAAUGAAAGUUGGAGGUCAUCACUGCUUUGUCCUCAUAGAUGAGAGCAAAUUUUCACAUAAGAGAAAGUACAACCGUGGCAGAUUUGGCUCUGCUUGGCGACG